rnacentral:ncRNA from 1 species
UGAUGCGCAACUGACGGAUAGUGGGUGAACCACAGGGAGCGCAUGGAAGAAAAAUGUCGACCGUCUGGGCAGUC